GACGAACGCUGGCGGCGUGCUUAUCACAUGCAAGUCGAGCGAUGAAGUUCCUUCGGGAAUGGAUUAGCGGCGGACGGGUGAGUAACACGUGGGUAACCUGCCUCAUAGAGGGGAAUAGCCUUUCGAAAGGAAGAUUAAUACCGCAUAAGAUUGUAGUACCGCAUGGUACAGCAAUUAAAGGAGUAAUCCGCUAUGAGAUGGACCCGCGUCGCAUUAGCUAGUUGGUGAGGUAACGGCUCACCAAGGCGACGAUGCGUAGCCGACCUGAGAGGGUGAUCGGCCACAUUGGGACUGAGACACGGCCCAGACUCCUACGGGAGGCAGCAGUGGGGAAUAUUGCACAAUGGGGGAAACCCUGAUGCAGCAACGCCGCGUGAGUGAUGACGGUCUUCGGAUUGUAAAGCUCUGUCUUCAGGGACGAUAAUGACGGUACCUGAGGAGGAAGCCACGGCUAACUACGUGCCAGCCGCCGCCGUAAGAC
rnacentral:rRNA from 1 species